UACAAAGGUUAAAUUGUGGUAUGGCCAGU
rnacentral:piRNA from 1 species